rnacentral:rRNA from 1 species
UACGUAGGUGGCAAGCGUUGUCCGGAUUUACUGGGCGUAAAGAGCGCGCAGGCGGUUGGGUAAGUCGAAUGUGAAAGCCCCCGGCUCAACUGGGGAGGGUCAUUCGAUACUGUCCGACUCGAAGGCAGGAGAGGGAAGCGGAAUUCCCGGUGUAGUGGUGAAAUGCGUAGAUAUCGGGAGGAACACCAGUGGCGAAGGCGGCUUUCUGGCCUGUUCUUGACGCUGAGGCGCGAAAGCCAGGGGAGCAAACAGG